rnacentral:rRNA from 1 species
AAUCAACGCUGGCGGCGUGCCUCAGACAUGCAAGUCGAACGAUUAAGACUUCCUUCGGGAAGUGUAUAAAGUGGCGCACGGGUGAGUAACACGUAAGUAAUCUACCCUCGAGUGGGGAAUAACGUUCGGAAACGAACGCUAAUACCGCAUAAUGCAGCGGCAUCGCAAGAUGACAGUUGUUAAAGGAGUAAUUCGCUUGAGGAGGAGCUUGCGGCAGAUUAGCUAGUUGGUAAGGUAACGGCUUACCAAGGCUACGAUCUGUAUCCGGUCUAAGAGGACGGUCGGACACACUGACACUGAAUAACGGGUCAGACUCCUACGGGAGGCAGCAGUCGGGAAUUUUGGGCAAUGGGCGAAAGCCUGACCCAGCAACGCCGCGUGAAGGAUGAAGUAUUUCGGUAUGUAAACUUCGAAAGAAUGGGAAGAAUAAAUGACGGUACCAUUUAUAAGCUCCGGCUAACUACGUGCCAGCAGCCGCGGUAACAC